rnacentral:rRNA from 1 species
GUAAGGAAUAUUGGUCAAUGGAGGCAACUCUGAACCAGCCAUGCCGCGUGAAGGAUGAAGGUCCUCUGGAUUGUAAACUUCUUUUAUGUGGGAAGAAAUGCAUUCUUUAUAGAGUGUUUGACGGUACCAUAGGAAUAAGCACCGGCUAACUCCGUGCCAGCAGCCGCGGUAAUACGGAGGGUGCGAGCGUUAUCCGGAUUCACUGGGUUUAAAGGGUGCGUAGGUGGGGAAGUAAGUCAGUGGUGAAAUCUCCGUGCUUAACAUGGAAACUGCCAUUGAUACUAUUUUUCUUGAAUUUUCCGGAGGUUAGCGGAAUAUGUCAUGUAGCGGUGAAAUGCUUAGAUAUGACAUAGAACACCAAUUGCGAAGGCAGCUAACUACAGGGAUAUUGACACUGAGGCACGAAAGCGUGGGGAUCAAACAGGAUUAGAUACCCCGGUAGUCC